rnacentral:rRNA from 1 species
AUUGAACGCUGGCGGCAUGCCUUACACAUGCAAGUCGAACGGCAGCACAGGUGCUUGCCCCUGGUGGCGAGUGGCGAACGGGUGAGUAAUACAUCGGAACAUGUCCUGUAGUGGGGGAUAGCCCGGCGAAAGCCGGAUUAAUACCGCAUACGAUCUACGGAUGAAAGCGGGGGACCUUCGGGCCUCGCGCUAUAGGGUUGGCCGAUGGCUGAUUAGCUAGUUGGUGGGGUAAAGGCCUACCAAGGCGACGAUCAGCAGCUGGUCUGAGAGGACGACCAGCCACACUGGGACUGAGACACGGCCCAGACUCCUACGGGAGGCAGCAGUGGGGAAUUUUGGACAAUGGGCGAAAGCCUGAUCCAGCAAUGCCGCGUGUGUGAAGAAGGCCUUCGGGUUGUAAAGCACUUUUGUCCGGAAAGAAAUCCUUGGCCCUAAUACGGUCGGGGGAUGACGGUACCGGAAGAAUAAGCACCGGCUAACUACGUG